AGAGUUUGAUCCUGGCUCACGAUGAACGCUGGCGGCGUGCUUAACACAUGCAAGUCGAACGAAGCACUUUAACUUGAUUUCUUCGGAAUGCUUGUUCUUGUGACUGAGUGGCGGACGGGUGAGUAACGCGUGGGUAACCUGCCUCAUACAGGGGGAUAACAGUUAGAAAUGACUGCUAAUACCGCAUAAGCGCACAGUACCGCAUGGUAUGGUGUGAAAAACUCCGGUGGUAUGAGAUGGACCCGCGUCUGAUUAGCUAGUUGGUGAGGUAACGGCCCACCAAGGCGACGAUCAGUAGCCGACCUGAGAGGGUGACCGGCCACAUUGGGACUGAGACACGGCCCAAACUCCUACGGGAGGCAGCAGUGGGGAAUAUUGCACAAUGGGCGAAAGCCUGAUGCAGCGACGCCGCGUGAGUGAAGAAGUAUUUCGGUAUGUAUAGUUCUAUCAGCAGGGAAGAUAAUGACGGUACCUGACUAAGAAGCACCGGCUAAAUACGUGCCAGCAGCCGCGGUAAUACGUAUGGUGCAAGCGUUAUCCGGAUUUACUGGGUGUAAAGGGAGCGCAGGCGGUACGGCAAGUCUGAUGUGAAAGCCUGGGGCUCAACCCCGGUACUGCAUUGGAAACUGUCGAACUAGAGUGUCGGAGGGGUAAGCGGAAUUCCUAGUGUAGCGGUGAAUGCGUAGAUAUUAGGAGGAACACCAGUGGCGAAGGCGGCUUACUGGACGAUAACUGACGCUGAGGCUCGAAAGCGUGGGAGCAAACAGGAUUAGAUACCCUGGUAGUCCACGCUGUAACGAUGAAUACUAGGUGUCGGGACCCACAGGGUUUCGGUGCCGCAGCAGACGCAAUAAGUAUUCCACCUGGGGAGUACGUUCGCAAGAAUGAAACUCAAAGGAAUUGACGGGGACCCGCACAAGCGGUGGAGCAUGUGGUUUAAUUCGAAGCAACGCGAAGAACCUUACCAAGUCUUGACAUCCCGAUGACCGGUGUUUAACCGCACCUUCUCUUCGGAGCAUCGGAGACAGGUGGUGCAUGGUUGUCGUCAGCUCGUGUCGUGAGAUGUUGGGUUAAGUCCCGCAACGAGCGCAACCCCUGUCCUUAGUAGCUAGCAGUACGGCUGAGCACUCUAGGGAGACUGCCAGGGAUAACCUGGAGGAAGGCGGGGAUGACGUCAAAUCAUCAUGCCCCUUAUGACUUGGGCUACACACGUGCUACAAUGGCGUAAACAAAGGGAAGCAAACCUGUGAGGGUAAGCAAAUCUCAAAAAUAACGUCUCAGAUCGGAUUGUAGUCUGCAACUCGACUACAUGAAGCUGGAAUCGCUAGUAAUCGCGAAUCAGAAUGUCGCGGUGAAUACGUUCACCGGGUCUUGUACACACCGCCCGUC
rnacentral:rRNA from 1 species